rnacentral:lncRNA from 1 species
AUUUUUUGUCUCAAAAACUCAUUUUGACCAUGUCAAACGGCCCUUAAUUCAUCACAAUUUGAACCCCAAAAAAACCGACCAUAGGAUAAAAAUCCAGAUCAAACAGGCGCUAAAUUUGAAAACCGCAUCUUCAGCCUUUAAAAUAAUUCCUCUUCGAAAGAAGCCCAAAUCGUUUUGCUGUUGUUUAGCGGAUUUAAAUCGUAAUUUUGAUUGAAAAAAGCUCCCAGUAACCAUUUUUCAGCUCUCAAAUUCGUGUUUGUUGAAGUUCGAUUCGCGGACAUUCUCCUCAUCUAUUGAGCUGAAUCUUCUCGAAUCCUUUUUGUAAGUGAAUUUCUCCACUGCGGUGUUUUCAUUAUUCUUUUGCAUUCAGUUAUAAUAGAAGAAUCGUUGUUUUUCGUAUUUUAUUGUUUACCGAGAAAUAGAAAUAAUAGUUUGUUUGUUAUGCCUCGUCACACUUGCAAUCCCUAGGUUUUUUAUGGAUGAGCGAACCUUAUUUUAUCUCGAUUCAUGUAUAUGCAUUUAGAAUUGAUUAGUUCGAAAAUAUGUUGCCUGGAUAAUAAUGUGCAUUAAUUUGGUAGUAUGCUCGAUACUGUGUGGAGUUUGGUUCUGGACUAUUUUUGUGGAAGUGCACUUUUUAACCACUUAUUUAGGUCCAUGGAAUUUUAGAGCCUCAGGACUUUUUCAUACAUUACAUGAUUCACGAGUUUGCUUUUAAGAGUGAUAAUUACGUAUAUUGAUAGCUCAAUAAUUGAGUGUAUUGAGUCUAUUGACAUUGCUCUUUGGUUUCGUUCUUCUAAGGUUGAUUUUCCACCUCUCUUGCAGAUACAAAAAUCUUAGGUUACAGGUGAUGAAACCUUUAAAACUUAUAGUCCAAACCUUCUUUAGGUUUAUAACAAGUUAUAAAAUUAUCUCUUCCUUCUAGUGUUUUUCUCAACAUAUGAGUCUGUAAUGGGCACAUUCGGGGAUUUAAUGCUUUCAGUGUUCUGUUUGCAGCAAAUGCAGUGAGCUUCCUUUUAAUAUGCUACUUUUUUGGUAUUUAGAGUAGUUCAUAGGUAUGGUCAUACAAACUUUAAGGUAUGAAAUUUACGAGUUAUACUAUAAAGUUAUGAGAGAAUGUGAUUGAGCAUAACAUCAAUUUGGGUUUAUGGCACAGAGAUCUACCAUGGAAACCAUUUAUCUACUUUAGAGAUUGAUUGGCUGGAAAAUAUGAAGAAAUAAGGUGAUUUGAAUUUGUUAAGGAAACUUAAAAUUAAGGUGCAUAGGGUAGUGAUGUGUGCUAGAAAAAAAAAAAUACUUUUAUCAGAUAUAUAAAUACAUUUAAGUAUAUGUAUGAUGAAACAAUGAUGGAUUUGGAAGCUAUAUGCCAAAAAGUAGUCAUGACAACUACUGACAAAAAAUUUAGAGCAUAAUGAAGUAGAUCAUUGGUGCAUCCAUCGCAAUUCUAAUGAAGCUCUCAUGAAUACAUUUGAUCAGGAAGAGACAGACCAUGUAAGUGUGUGAAGUGGUUGCUGAAUAUUUAAUUUCUUUGGACUUUCAGUAGAUGUGUUGUUAGAUCAAGAAGUGGCUAAAAAGGAUUCAAGUAGCCAACCUCAAAUUUAUAUUUGGAAUAAAGCUUAUCAUCUUUUUCUUGUUUAUAUUGUUACUAACUUGCAAUCCGUAUUGUGUUUUUCAGGAUUAAUUUCAACAUAAUCCAUGUGCAUUUUUUCUAGUUGCAAAUAAUUGUAAUAAGCGUAUCUUUUUACACGUUUAAUAGUAUUUAAUAUCUGUUAUGAAUGAUAUUGGUAGGUUCCACCUGUAAAUUCAAGGAAACAACUGAAUAGAAACCCCAAAACAAUAAAUUUGAUUCCUAUUGUAAUCUGGAUUAUGGACCUAAGGAAGGAAGUGCAAUAUUAUUUAUGAUAAAAAUCUAAAAACUUUAAGUUAGAAUUGAAAUCUUUACUCACAGAAACUUCAUUUCAUAAAAUUUUAGAAUGAUUAAUAUUAUUGAAUUACUAGUCUUAGCUAUAAGGGAGCUUUUAAUACUUACUUUAUUUAGUUCAAUGAAGCUUAAGUUUCAUAGGUUUUGAUGAAAAAUAUCUAGUAUUUAAUAUUAAAUUCAGUGUUUUAACACAUUUUUAACUCUUUUCCAUUAUCUCUGUCUAUUAAGAUAUUGUCAAAACUUGAUGUCAUACGAUGGAGUAAACUGUGAAUGCCAACCAUUCUAAACUUCAUGUUACCUAGAGUUUUGCACCGGGUACUGUUGAACUUGUAAUUUAUGCACUAUUUGUGAAAGUGCUUUGAUAUAACCCCAAAUUAGUAGUUAGUCCAAUUUUCAUUUACUUGGGGGUAUUAUGGGAACUUUGCCCAUGUUUCAUGGCCAUUAUUGUGUAAAAAUGAUGUUUUCAAUAGUGUGUUUUUUUUUUUUUUAAGAAUGUGUGGUUAAAAAGUGGGGAAAGGUUUUGGGUUUACGUGCAAAAUAUUUUAUUAUGUGAAUGCGUGGUUGAAAAUGAGUAUGAGAAAUAAAUUGUUUUGUUUUAAAGGGAGUCAAAUAGGGAAUUAAUAAGUUGUAUAGGCUUUUACCUAUAAAUAGGGGGUAUCGUUUCAUUUGGAAGUAGGCAGAAAUUCAGAGAAAUCUGAUGGAGAGAAUUGGCCUCUCGAAUGCCAAAUAUCUGCAUUUUCUAUCCUUAAUUUCUGGAGUGCAGUUUCAUGGAUUUACAGAUUGUGUUUACUGUUUGCAUUUUCUCAUUACAUAAACGAUUGUUCUCAAUCUUCAAUUCAAUAUAGAGUUAUACAUUACAAUCAACAUCUCCAGCCUACAUCCUUCCAUUACAAUAGUGUUGCCUAACAAUUCUACUGAUCAGCUGAUUCACAGGUCCACAGUGGUAGCAGCAGCAGGAAAUUCCAUCAGUUGAGCAGCAGCAACAGGGGACUCAGCAACAAGGGACCCUAUCACACUUGAUAUUAUGAGGUUACCUUUUUGAGACCAGGUGGGUUGAUCGCGUUAGCUGCCAGUUUAUGCUAGUAUAACUACAAUGGCAUCAUCUUCUUAGAAUCCUGUGUCUGUGGAUCCAAGAUGCUGUCAAAAAAUGUUAUUUGCUUCUCAGAAGUGAUUUUUUCCUGUAAUCUCCAUUCCGAUCCCUUCCCCUGCCAAAAUGUUGUCAUCAAGUGGAAAGUCUUUUAACUUUCAAGUAUAAUGUGUUCUACAGUUGGGAUGUCCUUCAAGUAUGAUGCUUCUUGAGUAGACUGCUGAUCAAAUAUGGUAUUGAUGGUUGGAAAGAGAAAAGACUUUACACUUUAUUUACUUAACUGGAAACUUAUGAUGCACCGACACAGACAUGUGUGUCCGACAUGAUACGCGUCGGAUGCGUCGAUAUAUGAUUUUUCAAAAAAGUGCCGACACGGCAUGUUGAUUAAUUUUUUUAAAAUUCUUCAUUUAUAUAUUAUAACUUUAACUUUAUACAUGUUAUUGAUUUUUCUUGUUGAAAUUUUUUAAAUAUAAGUACUUAUUUGUUAUUUAUUAAUAACUUUGAGUUAAAAAAAUAUAUAAUAACUAUAGUAUGAAAGAAAAAUGAUUAUUGCAGAGUGCCAGUAUCGACAUGUGUCGGACACAUACACGUUACCCUAGUUAAAUUGUUUGUGCUAUAGAGCUGGAAACUACCUGUGCCAUUUUCUAGCUGAAGGAUUCUUUUUUCCUUAAUUAGAAGUAACCAAGUCCAAAUAUGUUUCCAUUGCCAUAUUUGCAUAUGUAAUCACUGCAUAUCAGAGCUUCACGAUGGGAAUGUUUCUCGUGAGGUUUAAGUCAGUGAGAAAGUAAUGUUGAGCUCAAAAAAGAUGCAUCUGAUCUUGAAAUUAUCAGUUGAUGAAUGUCUUAACAGACAAUGGCUCACACAUUUUCUGGAGACAUUCAUUCUUAUAUGUCUUAACAGACAUUCCUUCUCUUAACAUUGUCGUGAUAUUUUUCUUAUAUCAAUCUGCCAUAGAUAAAUCUGUAUGCUUCUCGUCAUUCAAGUUUUGUUGAUUCAACUUCAUUUAGAUAAAAUAGAGUUCUCAUAUAUCAGCAACACGUGAUUAGGGAGAGAAAUCAGCAGACGAAUUGGAUUUUGGAGUGGUUUCAAAUGCAGCCAGUCAUUACAUAAUAAGGAAAUAGUUAAGGACCUCUUUAUAGGUUAUUUUUCGUGCUUCCCGUUGUGCACAGCUUGGCUUUUUUGCCAAUUGACCCCGGUGGAAACUAAUUGUUUCUUGAGUUCUAUAGUUGGCCUGGACUAGAGAAAGAGUUCAUACAUUACAUACAUAUUUAUUCAAUUGUAUAUAGUCUGUUGUAAAGUAAUCUACAUAUGGUUGGAAACUCAAUGUAAUUAGCUCGUACAUUUUACGUACAAUUUCUUUAUAGAAUUUUUGAUAAAAAGCUAUCAUAACUCAAUGAUUUGUAAGCUAAGACUCACGAAUUAAAAUACAAUAUGAUACAGGUACGUAGAUACAGGUUUUUUUAAAAAGAAUUAGGAUAUGCGGAUACAUGUGUAUAUAUAUGGACACUUUAAAAUUCCGUAUAAUUUCAUUAAUAUAAAAAAAUUAAAACAAAAACAUGAUAAUAAAAAUAAAAUAAAGUAUUAAAACAUUUUAUCUUAAUCCUUAAUUGUCAUUACUUCAUUUUCUUCAAUAUUGUCAACAUCAUCUUCUUCAUUAUCAUUAAAAAUAAUAUUCUCUAAUGCUGACCAUCUAAUGAUAAAUUAACAACCUCGAGUAGUCCAACUCCUUCAAAAGUAUUAAAUGAGUCUCAUACAAUGUCCUACAUUUUGAAUUCUCCUUUUGAAUAGAUAUUUAAUACUAUUCUCUAUUUUCAAUAAUAAAAAUAUAUUUAUCAACUAUUUAUACGGUUUUACAUGUAAUAAAAUAUUUAAUACUAUUAUUUAUUUCCAAUAAAAAACUCUAGUUUUCAAUUAAAUUAAAACUCUAUUUGGGUAUUUUCAAUAAAGAUUAUUUAUUUUCAAUAAGUUAUUGAUAACAACAAUAGUUAUCUAUUAAGUAAUUUUAUUUUUUUUCGGUCAAUCUAUGGUCAAUAAAACUCUUCUUUACAUGUCCUAACAUAUCUGACACACAUCGAAAAUAAUUAAAAGACGUAAAAUAAUUAAAAAAUACAUAUACGAUACAUAUAAAAAAUUUAAAAAUUGUGAAAAAAUAUAAAAUAAUUAAAAAAACAUAUAUCCGAUAUGUAUUAGAGCAUAUCAAAGAAUAUCCAAGUUUGGAUACGGUACAUGAUAAGUUAACAAGUAUCCGUGCUUCUUAGUUUGUAAGUGGCAUUAUGAAUCAACUACAAAAUGUUUGUGGAUAAUGUGCUGGUGAAUUGUGCAAUCAUCAUAUCGAAUAAUUAAGGUCUCUAAAGGUUUAAAAUAGAUCAUCAGUGGACUUACAGAAUUUGUCUUUCAAAUUUUUGUUAAGCCAAGAAAUCCAUAUUCAAUAGGAAAGAAGGAAGAUGAUUCCAAACAUGUGCCAAAUAAAACUAGUUUAGAAAAUUCCCAAAUAAAUUAAUUUAUCAAAGCAAGGUAUAAAUUCAGUAACUCAUGAAUAGAAGGACAUAAUGUUACUUAUCCUUCGUACCUGAUUCCCCUACAUCAGUUAUAUUCUUAUUUGCUUAAGCUUGCAUCAGUUUGAAUGGGCUGUGAUAUGUAUUUAAUAAAUUCACAUUUUCUACAUGAGGGGGAACUUGAUGUUCACAUCGCUACAUUUGGGACCAUCUCUUUUUCUUCUUUCAUGCAGUUCUUUAUUUUGCAAGUUUGAUAUAUUGAACUAGCUUUUUAUGGAAACUUCAUGGAACUAAAAAAGAAAUAAAACAUUGAUGAGGCUGGAGAAUGCGUCUGAUUGGUUGAAGUUAUGUUUAUAUAUUACAGUACAGUCCUUGCCGUACCAGUGUGCACAUCAAUUGUCACUUCAUAGUUGUGAUGUUGAAUGGUUGGAUGUAUGCCCACAAUUUCCUGUGGCAUAAGACGAUGAUGUUUUAUACAGAUGUACAUCAUACUUGGCCACGAAGAACUCAACAGUUUGAUGACCAAUUAGGUAAUAACUAUCAGGCAUCACAUCACUUUACGUAUGCACACCAGAGAGUUUCUUUUUGCACAAGGUAUUAUUCAUCAAUCUGUCUCUGUACUAUGUAUAUGUCAAGUCCAGUCAUUUUUAGCCUGCAGUCAAUAUAUGUUCUGCUAACCUGCUGGAUCUGGCUUCAAACUAUCACCUUCAAGAUACUAUAUUCUCCAUCUUCUACUAAGAAUACACUAAGCCCCUGCUUGGCCCCCAUUAUUUGAAUUUAUAAUGGGGGGAAUAGUAGUUUUUUGAAGAUUGUGUGGUUGAAAGUAGGAGAAAGAAAAAAUUAAAUUAAAUUGAAGAGUUUUAAAGGGGGCCAAAUUGAAGAGUUUUAAAGGGGGCCAAACGGGGGCUAAAUUUUGAAUCUACACCCUUGAUCAUAUGCUUCUACACAAUGCUUGAAAUAAAUUAUUUUAUUAGCAACAUAUUGGCAUAAUAACAUACAAGCUAAGCCUUAUUCUUGAUAUCUCAGAGCUAGGUGCAUAAUCCUUUUUGCCAUUUGACUUAGUUGAGACUGAGAACUGUAAGGAAGUGUAAUCUUCAAUCACCAAGACGAUAUACAGGCUCAGUAACCAAAAACCCGAAUCAAUACCAAAACAAACGACCCAAGAACACCACAAAGGUUUCACCUACGGUUGCUAGACCUUUGCCACUUAGAGACCACCACAAAGGAGGAGAAAUAUCACCAAGAUAUCAACACAAAGAGAAGCAGAAGGCAGUAGAGUACAGGGUCGAGAGAGAGCAUGCAGAGAUGAAGAAGAGAGACACCAAGUCUUGUUUCUCAAAAGUGGCGUGCAAGACCAAGUGAAUAAAUAUUGGGUCAAGUCACAAAUAAGGUAAGUUAGGUCUAGGUAAUGGGUCGUGGCCCAAUAACACAUAGUAGAAUAUAGAGUGGGCCUCAAGUAUAGCUAGUCAUCCAAGUAGGUAGAAAAUAUGACCCAUGAGAAACACAAUAAAAUUGGUUGCUUCAAAUGGUCCAAUCACUUUUUGGGUUGGGUCGUUCAAAUUUUGAUAUUGAUAUGUCGUUCAGUCAUAUUGCAAAUGCCGAUUCAUAAUUAAUAACCGGUUUAUAUCAUCGCCGGGAAGGUCGUUUGACAACAAUAUGUCUAACAAGAACUACCACUUGUAAAAUUCCAAGGUAAUCUUUUACAAUCACUGUAGGGCACAUUAAUUUUGGUCUAAAUAUCCAUCUUUUAACCUAUAUCAUUGAGAUUUCAUCUCUUUUCUGAAUCAGAGCUUCUAUAGGGCUACGCAUAAUCCUUUUUGCCAUUUGACAUUGAUUUUUUUUUAUGAAGACUUUUGAUUAGAGAAGCAACCUUUGCUGUCUUGCCUUGUGAAAGAUUUCUACCACAAUAUUAUAUAUUCCUCACUGUCCUUUUUGUGCAUUCCUAAUAUUGCAUUGGUUUUCCUCUGACAUGUUCACUGAAGCGUUUGGAUUCUAAAAUUAUGAUUCUGGUCUCACAGAUGUUAGGAUCACUGAAGCUUAUGGGUUUCUGCAGUUAUGAUUCUAGGCUCAUGAAAUUAUUUGUUAUGUUACUUCCUCUGUUGUCAACAGCCAGAGAGUGGCCUCUAUGAUGUGAUCAAAGUUGACAAACAAACAAAAUAAUGAUAAAAGAAGUAAAAAGCACAAAUAUAGUGACGUGGGUAGAAAAUGGACAUUAGGAAUCACAGAUGUCAUCUCAAAAGGAUAAAGACAGGGAGCAAACAACAGCUGGACAUCCCUCACUGCAUUAGCAAGACCAGCUGACCUGGUAUGAAAUGUCUUUUUACCAUCUUAACGUGUAUACAAAUAAUUUCAAGUAAUUUGAUUGAAAGAUACAUUUUCUUUGCCAAUUUAAUUUGUCUUAUUAUACACCACUGCUGGUCUCUGGUCAAUUGUCAUAUAAAUAAAAGAAAUGGCCAAAGGUGUUUUUGUGCUGGUCAACAAGCACGUACAUUUUUACCAAUAUUUAAAAGCUUAUCAAACCACAAGCCAUGUUUGACGAAGUCUUCCCUUUUUCAACAUGAAUGGAGAUAAGAAAUGAAUACCAUCCUUUUUUAUAUGUUCAUGUUAUGGUUGAUUUAAUUAUUGAUGAAACAUUUGGGGUGGUUCUUGCAUGAAUUAAUGAUGAAAUGGCUGAGCAUGGAUCCCAAAGGUUAUCUUUGCCAUUAUCUUUGAAGUCUUUAUUCUCAUGCUUAAUGAUUAUUAUCAGGUAAAACUUGAAGAUAUUUGUAAUAUUGUGAGAAGAAUUGUUGAGGGGAAAUAAAAUUAAUCAACUUAGGUUAUUUUUCCUGCAACUAACUUAAACCAUUUCAACUCCUUGGUAGUCCCAUAUGAUGCAUGCAGGUAUAGGUUAGAAAGCUUUAAAAAUUGGUCAUAGCACUUGAAGUGCACACUGUUACUUGGCAGAUAUAAUCAUAUACUACUCAAUAAUUAAUCAUAUCUUGAGAUUAAUGAUUAGAUGUACUAGUUGUGAAGCCUUCAUAAGCUUGGGGUUAAUUUGGAAUUCUUGACUUUCUUAUGUCAUGUUUCAUAAACAAUCUCCACUUGCACUCUUCUUUAUGCUGCUCCUUACUGAGAACUACAAUUUGAACUUUGUUUAGUUCAUGUUUUCUAUGAAAGUCAACGACUUUACUCUUUUGGAUGGUAUAGAUUAGUUCCUAGUGCUUUUCUGAUAACAUAGGAAAAAUUUAUGAGGAAUGUACAUACUACUGUUAUGGUGUUUCUUACUAGAAUUUACUUGAUACUCACAUUUAAAAUACAGGUUAUUGGGAAGCUAAUAAUUUUCUUUUAACAUAUGAAUAUGAAACUUGUAUGACUUAUAAGACAUCUAUCGACCAUGAUGUUACACUCGCAUCAAGAUGUGAGCUAAGAUUAUUUGUGUGUAUAUGUAUCCCCGUCUUAUUAUAAUUUAUACUUAAAAAUAGAAUUUUCAUUAUAAUAAAUUUUUAAUGGUUACAUUAAAGGAAUUUUCAUGAAAAAAUUAAUUAUUAGAAUUUAGAAUUUAAAUUUUCUGUGGAAUGAAUAUUUCUUCCUGAAAUUUUUGAUAGAGAUCAACUUAUUCCGGAAUUUGAUUUAUUGGAGUGUCUACUUGUUUCCAGGUGCAUCCUAUAUGAGCCUAGUCCAACGCAUUCUGAGUGAAAUCCUCUUUCUUAAGCCAUUAGCAGCCUUACCUUAUUAUUACUACGACCAGAUUACCC